AUGAACGCUGGCGGCGUGCCUAAUACAUGCAAGUCGAGCGAACGGACGAGAAGCUUGCUUUUCUGAUGUUAGCGGCGGACGGGUGAGUAACACGUGGAUAACCUACCUAUAAGACUGGGAUAACUUCGGGAAACCGGAGCUAAUACCGGAUAAUAUUUUGAACCGCAUGGUUCAAAAGUGAAAGACGGUCUUGCUGUCACUUAUAGAUGGAUCCGCGCUGCAUUAGCUAGUUGGUAAGGUAACGGCUUACCAAGGCAACGACGCAUAGCCGACCUGAGAGGGUGAUCGGCCACACUGGAACUGAGACACGGUCCAGACUCCUACGGGAGGCAGCAGUAGGGAAUCUUCCGCAAUGGGCGAAAGCCUGACGGAGCAACGCCGCGUGAGUGAUGAAGGUCUUCGGAUCGUAAAACUCUGUUAUUAGGGAAGAACAUAUGUGUAAGUAACUGUGCACAUCUUGACGGUACCUAAUCAGAAAGCCACGGCUAACUACGUG
rnacentral:rRNA from 1 species